CAGCAGCCGCGGGAAUACAGAGGGUGCAAGCGUUAAUCGGAAUUACUGGGCGUAAAGCGUGCGCAGGCGGUUAUAUAAGACAGAUGUGAAAUCCCCGGGCUCAACCUGGGAACUGCAUUUGUGACUGUAUAGCUAGAGUACGGCAGAGGGGGAUGGAAUUCCGCGUGUAGCAGUGAAAUGCGUAGAUAUGCGGAGGAACACCGAUGGCGAAGGCAAUCCCCUGGGCCUGUACUGACGCUCAUGCACGAAAGCGUGGGGAGCAAACAGGAUUAGAUACCCCCGUAGUCCCUGUCUCUUAUAA
rnacentral:rRNA from 1 species